GGGCGAUUAGCUCAGAUGGAUAGAGCGUUGGUCUCCGGAACCAAAGGUCGUGGGUUCGAACCCCGCAUCGCCUACCA
rnacentral:tRNA from 1 species